AUUGAACGCUGGCGGCAUGCCUUACACAUGCAAGUCGAACGGCAGCACGGGAGCAAUCCUGGUGGCGAGUGGCGAACGGGUGAGUAAUAUAUCGGAACGUGCCCAGUCGUGGGGGAUAACGCAGCGAAAGCUGUGCUAAUACCGCAUACGAUCUACGGAUGAAAGCGGGGGAUCGCAAGACCUCGCGCGAUUGGAGCGGCCGAUAUCAUAUUAGCUAGUUGGUGGGGUAAAGGCCCACCAAGGCGACGAUCUGUAGCUGGUCUGAGAGGACGACCAGCCACACUGGAACUGAGACACGGUCCAGAGUCCUACGGGAGGCAGCAGUGGGGAAUUUUGGACAAUGGGCGCAAGCCUGAUCCAGCAAUGCCGCGUGCAGGAUGAAGGCCUUCGGGUUGUAAACUGCUUUUGUACGGAACGAAACGGCCCUUUCUAAUACAGGGGGCUAAUGACGGUACCGUAAGAAUAAGCACCGGCUAACUACGUGCCAGCCGCCGCCGUAA
rnacentral:rRNA from 1 species